AGAUCUGAAAUCAGGUGGGACUACCCGCUGAACUUAAGCAUAUCAAUAAGCGGAGGAAAAGAAACUAACAAGGAUUCCCCUAGUAACGGCGAGUGAAGCGGGAAAAGCUCAAAUUUAAAAUCUGGCAGGUACCCUGUCCGAGUUGUAGUUUCAAGAAGCGUUUUCGGUGCGCGUCCGGGUAUAAGUUCUUUGGAACAGGACAUCAUAGAGGGUGAGAAUCCCGUUUAUGACCCGGAACUGCGUACUAUGUGAUACGUUUUCUAAGAGUCAGGUUGUUUGGGAAUGCAGCCUAAAAUGGGUGGUAAAUUUCAUCUAAAGCUAAAUAUUGGCGAGAGACCGAUAGCGAACAAGUACCGUGAGGGAAAGAUGAAAAGAACUUUGAAAAGAGAGUUAAACAGUACGUGAAAUUGUUGAAAGGGAAACGUUUGAAAUCAGUCGUGCGGGCGGGUAAUCAGCUUGGCCUUUGGGUCUUGUGCACUUUCUCGUCUCGCAGGCCAGCGUCGGUUUUGUUUGCCGGAUAAAUGCCAAAGGAAUGUAGCUCCACCUUUCACGAGGAGGGGUCUUAUAGCCCUGGUAAAUACGGCGGUCGAGACCGAGGUCUGCAGUUGAUGCCUCUCGGGGCUGGGGACUCCAUCGCUCAUUCCCACCCGCGCCUAGACAGCUUGCUGACUAGGUGUGUGGUCUGUGGGUGACACGGUGGCCUACC
rnacentral:rRNA from 1 species